rnacentral:rRNA from 1 species
UAGGGAAUCUUCCGCAAUGGACGCAAGUCUGACGGAGCAACGCCGCGUGAGUGAAGAAGGAUUUCGGUUCGUAAAACUCUGUUGUUAGAGAAGAACAGCGCAUAGAGUAACUGUUAAGCGUGUGACGGUAUCUAACCAGAAAGCCACGGCUAACUACGUGCCAGCAGCCGCGGUAAUACGUAGGUGGCAAGCGUUGUCCGGAUUUAUUGGGCGUAAAGCGAGCGCAGGCGGUCAAUUAAGUCUGAUGUGAAAGCCCCCGGCUCAACCGGGGAGGGUCAUUGGAAACUGGUUGACUUGAGUGCAGAAGAGGAGAGUGGAAUUCCAUGUGUAGCGGUGAAAUGCGUAGAUAUAUGGAGGAACACCAGUGGCGAAGGCGACUCUCUGGUCUGUAACUGACGCUGAGGCUCGAAAGCGUGGGUAGCAAACAGG